rnacentral:lncRNA from 1 species
AUGAUAACAAUGAAAGCCCUGAUGAGUUAUUUAAACUCAAGCCAGCCCAACCCAGUAUUCUUAGGUGAGACAAUAGAUAUUCCCGUUAACACAUGCAAACACAUCACAAGGUACCUUAUAAGAGAAUUUUGUGUCAUGACUCUCACAGAUACUCUUCAGGAAAAUGUGGCAAUGCAUGAGGAUGAUCAUCCCAAAAGCUCUGCUUCUUCAGAUCUGAAUACUAAGAUACUCCAACAAAUUAAAAUGCUGGAACAGAGACAAGCUGUCAUCAUGAAUGACUUGGCAAAAGUUAAGCCUGUUCUCAUGAAGCGGGCAGAAGAAGAUGCCCAUGAGGAACUUUUUAAACAACAACAGUGCUCCAGCUUUGAAACGUUUGAAGCCUUCUGUCAGAGGCUUGAAGAAGACAAAAAUUAUCAAGAGCUUUAUGUACACUAUCUCAUCCAUACUCACGGCACCUCCAAUAUAGGUGAGAUGGUGAAAGAGGCUUUAAUAAGCAUAGUGUCAGACAAUGUUCUCUGUCUGUAUAACAGAACGGGGAAAGAUGGGAAGAAGGUGUUGCCACCUGUGCUCCUGACAUGUUUGAAAAAAUGUGUCAGGUCUUUUCACAAACAAAAUGAAAUAAAGGUGAAGAAGCUAAAAGUAACCACCAGAACAACACCAGACGCGGAAUGUAUUCGCCAAGUAGAAUUUUUUUGUCCAACGCCAAAACCAGGCUGAAAAGGAAACCAAAUAAAGGAAAAAGCUGACUUUUUGUUUGAUUGUUUUUAUUGAUGGAAAUAAGGAAUGUGGGUGUAAAAGUUUGAGUUAACUGAAUCAUUUUAGAUAACAGUGAACUAACACAAUUAUUGCAUAGUGGUGUUAUAUGGUGAUCUCACAGUAUGAGCACACAGUGACCACAGUAUGAGCACACAGUGAUCACAGUAUGAGCACACAGUGAGUGUGAUGUGACCUCAUAUUUCCACCACAGUAUGAGUGCACUGUGAUUGUGCAGUCACCUCAUGCUGUGAACAAAGUAUGAGCACACAGUGAGAGCUCUUUGUGGUUACACUUUUAGUUCACUGUGACACUCACAUUAUGACCGCACCAUGAGAAUAUUGUGAGCUCAUAGUGACAUCAUUGUGAGAUCAAAUUGUUGACUGGGCAAUUACAGUUGUUUUUAUUAUUGUACAUUAUUCUCCUCAAAUGCUCUCGAAGUUAGAAAAGUGUAGUAGUCUAUACCAAUACCUCAUGUAACUUUAGAGACGGUCCCUAUAUUUGCGAAUAUCGAACAUCCAACGUCAAGCCAACUUUAUGCCCGCUUUUUACUUUUUUUUUUUUUUACUUUCUUCUGUUUUCUUUCCUCUGCAACGGAUGGUUGAUGUCUUUUAACCAGGCAUAUAUGUCCAUCCAUCAAUUAUGAACAUUCAGCCGCAAACAUGAGGUGCGAGCGUUUACAAGUGUGGUCGGGGGGAAUGACAAGGUUUUUUUUUUUUUUUUUUUUUUGAGCACUGCCCCCCAGGGAUUUGCUGCCCUACACAAACUGUGUACUCUGCAUAUAGAGAGCGGUGGUACUGCCUAAAAUGUAAUGUUUCUGUUAAUAUUGGGGGCUGAAAUUCUUCAAGAUUACAUCUUCCUUGGGGAGUCCCUCAAGGUUCGAUUCUUGCUCAAAUUCUUUUCUCCCUUUAUAUGUUACCGUUAGGAGCAAUUUUUCACAAAUAUAAAGUGUCAUUCCAUUGCAACGCUGAUGAUACGCAGAUUUAUUUGCCUGUGAGUGAGUUCAAACUCAAAUUAAAAUUCAAACUCACUUGACACUUUAUUAGCAUGCUUACACAAUGUUAAAGAGGGGGUGAAAAGCUAAUUUUCACUCAAUCUCCUGUUAAUCUUGAGUACGUAUAGAGUAGUACUGCAUCCUCCAUAUCUCCAAAAAGUCUUUAGUUAUAUUAUAUUUAUUAGAGAAAGAUAGUCUGUACUGAUUUUUUCCGGAAAAAAACACGAGCGGCUGGAGGCGUGACGUGUGGGUGGAGCUAAAGAAUCACGAGCACGACUAGGAUUUUGCAUUGAGAGCAUUUGGAAGCUGUGACAUUACCAUCAUCCAAAACAAACCAUGGCUAACAGUAAGAUUCAGCCGUAUAUUUUUGAUCCAGAAUCAGAUCUCGAGGCUGAAAUUGAACAAGAGCAGCAGCAGCAACGACUACAGCAGGACGUCUCUAUGUAGUAUAUAUUGAAACUAUAUAUAUUUGCUUAGCGGUUUUGGAAAGUGACUAAGUUCCACAUUAUGUCGUUUUUUUUUUUUUUUUUAAAGGGGGGGUGAAAUGCUCGUUUUCACUCAAUAUCCUGUUAAUCUUGAGUACCUAUAGAGUAGUACUGCAUCCUUCAUAACACCAAAAAGUCUUUAGUUUUAUUAUAUUUAUAAGAGAAAGAUAGUCUGUACCGAUUUUUCCCGGAAAAACACGAGCGCCUGGAGGCGUCACGUGUGGGCGGAGCUAAAGAACAAGCACGAAUUAUGUCGAUUGCAAGUGUCACAGGUAGCAGAAAGUGCAAGUAGCGAUUGCAACUGACAUUGUAAUUUAGUUUAUUUUUUUCUUGUCUUCGCCACCUGGCUACUGUUGUAAAAUGUUGGGAAAUUCGAACAAAAAGUUAAAAAAAAAAUCAAUAAAAUAAAGAAUAAAGACUGCAAGUGAUGUCACUAGCGCAAGUGCAAGUGUCUGAGAGUGCAAGUGCAAGUCUGCAGCCAGACCCUCUUGCAACUCCGUUGAUGCUCUGUAAAAAUAAACUCCAUCCACUGGUCCCUUAAUGCUGUUUUUUUUUUUGGUAAUCUGUACAGGGUUGUCUUGCCCUGGCAACCGAAAACACACUUUGGUGACAUUUCGCUCUCUCACACUGGUCAGUGAAUGUCUCUGCUCUGGUCUAUGGGCACGCACGCGCUCUUCUGGGAGAAGUGCCCUUAGGACCCAUAUAAGGAAAUUCUGCACCAUCUAACGUCACACGGACCCAUACUCGAAAAAAACUUUCCGAAACUUGUGACAAACCGGAAGGAGUAUUUUUGGAACAAAAAUACUCCUUCAAACGUACAACUUAAUUUUUGAAACUUUGUCCAUGUUUAGCAUGGGAAUCCAACUCUUUAACAGUGUAAAAAUCUCAGUAUGCAUGAAAUAGCAUUUCACCCCCCUUUAAGGAUUGGAUGGCUGCAAUUUUUUUAAAGGUUAAUGAAAAUAAAACUGAUGUUAUUGUGUUUGGCCCUAGAAAACAUGAGGUGCUGCCGUGCUUGAAAGCAAUUUUUUUGACUGGUUUUGUUAAAUCUAAUGUAAAAAAAAAAAAAAGGAUUUGUUCUGGAUAGUGAUUUAAAGUUGGACAGAGAAAUUAACAUUGUGGUGAGAUCUUGUUUUUUUUUUUUUUUUUAUCUAUGUCUGCUAGUUAAGACUAAACCAUUUCUAUCUAGUUCAGAUUUUGAGAGAGCAAUUCCGUCCAUUGUCUUUUCACGAAUGGAUUAUUGUAAUUCACUUUACUAUGGAGUUGACGUUCGAG